CCCCUGGAAACAGGGGAGUGGCCUUUCGGGGAACUCGGAGACAGGUGCUGCAUUGGCUGUCGUCAGCUCGUGUCGUGAGAUGUUGGGUUAAGUCCCGCAACGAGCGCAACCCUUGUCUUUAAUUGCCAGCAUUCAGUUUGGGCACUUUAAAGAGACUGCCGGUGUUAAGCCGGAGGAAGGUGGGGAUGACGUCAAGUCCUCAUGGCCUUUAUGCCCAGGGCUACACACGUGCUACAAUGGGUGGUACAAAGAGAUGCCAACUCGCGAGAGCGCGCCAAUCUCAGAAAGCCAUCCUCAGUUCGGAUUGGAGUCUGCAACUCGACUCCAUGAAGUUGGAAUCGCUAGUAAUCGCGGAUCAGCACGCCGCGGUGAACACGUUCCCGGGCCUU
rnacentral:rRNA from 1 species